AUGAAGGUCUUCGGAUCGUAAAGUUCUGUUGUNAGGGAAGAACNNGNACCGUUCGAACAGGGCGGUNCCUUGACGGUACCUGACNAGGAAGCCCCGGCUAACUACGUGCCAGCAGCCGCGGUAAUACGUAGGGGGCAAGCGUUGUCCGGAAUUAUUGGGCGUAAAGGGCACGCAGGCGGUUCCUUAAGUCUGAUGUGAAAGNCCACGGCUCAACCGUGGANGGCCAUUGGAAACUGGGGAACUUGAGGACAGAAGAGGAGAGUGGAAUUCCACGUGUAGCGGUGAAAUGCGUAGAUAUGUGGAGGAACACCAGUGGCGAAGGCGACUCUCUGGUCUGUNNCUGACGCUGAGGUGCGAAAGCGUGGGUAGCAAACAGGAUUAGAUACCCUGGUAGUCCACGCCGUAAACGNUGAGUGCUAGGUGUUAGGGGGNUUCNNCCCCUUAGUGCUGAAGUUAACGCAUUAAGCACUCCGCCUGGGGAGUACGGCCGCAAGG
rnacentral:rRNA from 1 species